rnacentral:misc_RNA from 1 species
AACGCACAUUGCGCCCCUUGGUAUUCCGGGGGGCAUGCCUGUUCGAGCGUCAUUACAACCCUCAAGCUCUGCUUGGUCUUGGGCGUCACCGGUCCCCGGUGUGCCUUAAAAUCAGUGGCGGCGCCAUCUGGCUCUAAGCGUAGUACACACUCUCGCUAUAGACGCCCGGUGGAUGCUGGCCAGCAACCCCCAUUUCUCAAGGUUGACCUCGGAUCAGGUAGGGAUACCCGCUGAACUUAA